rnacentral:rRNA from 1 species
CCCAAAGUGUUAAUACCUCAAAAACGGCGAGUGAAGCGGUAAGAGCUCAAAUUUGAAAGCUGGCUCCUUCGGGGUCCGCAUUGUAAUUUGCAGAGGAUGUUUCGGGAGCAGCCCCCAUCUAAGUGUCCUGGAACGGACCGUCAUAGAGGGUGAGAAUCCCGUAUGGGAUGGGGUGUCUGCGCCCAUGUGAAACUCCUUCGACGAGUCGAGUUGUUUGGGAAUGCAGCUCUAAAUGGGUGGUAAAUUUCAUCUAAAGCUAAAUAUUGGCCGGAGACCGAUAGCGCACAAGUAGAGUGAUCGAAAGAUGAAAAGCACUUUGAAAAGAGAGUUAAAAAGCACGUGAAAUUGUUGAAAGGGAAGCGCUUGCGAUCAGACUCGCCUUGGGGGUUCAGCCGGCAUUCGUGCCGGUGUACUUCCCCCAGGGCGGGCCAGCGUCGGUUUGGGUGGCCGGUCAAAGGCCCUUGGAAUGUAACGCCUCUCGGGGCGUCUUAUAGCCAAGGGUGCCAUGCGGCCUACCUGGACCGAGGAACGCGCUUCGGCUCGGACGCUGGCAUAAUGGUCGUAAGCGACCCGUCUUGAAACACGGACCAU